AUUGAACGCUGGCGGCAGGCCUAACACAUGCAAGUCGAGCGGAUGACGGGAGCUUGCUCCUUGAUUCAGCGGCGGACGGGUGAGUAAUGCCUAGGAAUCUGCCUGGUAGUGGGGGACAACGUUUCGACAGGAACGCUAAUACCGCAUCCGUCCUACGGGAGAAAGCAGGGGACCUUCGGGCCUUGCGCUAUCAGAUGAGCCUAGGUCGGAUUAGCUUGUUGGUGAGGUAAUGGCUCACCAAGGCGACGAUCCGUAACUGGUCUGAGAGGAUGAUCAGUCACACUGGAACUGAGACACGGUCCAGACUCCUACGGGAGGCAGCAGUGGGGAAUAUUGGACAAUGGGCGAAAGCCUGAUCCAGCAAUGCCGCGUGUGUGAAGAAGGUCUUCGGAUUGUAAAGCACUUUAAGUUGGGAGGAAGGGUUGUAGAUUAAUACUCUGCAAUUUUGACGUUACCGACAGAAUAAGCACCGGCUAACUCUGUG
rnacentral:rRNA from 1 species